GAUGAACGCUAGCUACAGGCUUAACACAUGCAAGUCGAGGGGCAGCAUGAACUUAGCUUGCUAAGUUUGAUGGCGACCGGCGCACGGGUGAGUAACACGUAUCCAACCUGCCGAUGACUCGGGGAUAGCCUUUCGAAAGAAAGAUUAAUACCCGAUGGCAUAGUUCUUCCGCAUGGUAGAACUAUUAAAGAAUUUCGGUCAUCGAUGGGGCUGCGUUCCAUUAGGUUGUUGGCGGGGUAACGGCCCACCAAGCCUUCGAUGGAUAGGGGUUCUGAGAGGAAGGUCCCCCACGUUGGAACCGGGCCACGGUCCAAACUCGUACCGGAGGAAGCAGUGAGGAAUAUUGGUAAAUGGAAGAGAGUCUGAACCAGCCAAGUAGCGUGAAGGAAGCCCGCCCUAUGGGUUGUAAACUUCUGUUAUACGGGAAUAAAGUGAGGCACGUGUGCCUUGUUGUAUGUACCGGAUGAAUAAGGAUCGGCUAACUCCGUG
rnacentral:rRNA from 1 species